rnacentral:rRNA from 1 species
UACAGAGGUCUCAAGCGUUGUUCGGAUUCAUUGGGCGUAAAGGGUGUGUAGGUGGCGCGCUAAGUCGGGUGUGAAAUUUCGGAGCUUAACUCCGAAACUGCAUUCGAUACUGGCGUGCUUGAGGACUGGAGAGGAGACUGGAAUUCAUGGUGUAGCAGUGAAUGCGUAGAGAUCAUGAGGAAGACCAGUGGCGAAGGCGGGUCUCUGGACAGUUCCUGACACUGAGACACGAAGGCCAGGGGAGCAAACGGG